GGCUCAUUUGGCAUUGAUCCCUCAAAAUUUAAUCAAUUCAUUUCGAGCUUUCCAAAUAGAUGAAGCUGCUAUAGAAAAUAGUUCUAAAAAAUUCAAACCGCGCAAACGGAGCAAUCAGAAUAAAAUGGAUUGGAAACCCAUCAACUACAGAUGGAAGAAUCUAGUGGUGGAGCUUUCUGAGGGCUAGCUAGAAGCUUAUGAUGGCCCAUAAGCUUCUUGAGGAAAUUACAAAUUGCAAAAUUUCAACAAAAUAAUUUCAAGUUACCAUCAAUUUUAACAGAAUUCCCACAAGUUAGAACAAUGAAGGGCAUAAGAAAGCAGUGAGAAUUUUCAAAAUCAUGGAUUCAAAAACUACAAUUGAAUUAGAGAAUGGAGGGAUUCAAAACGCAGUCCCCAUGCAAAAUUUGAAAGCUUACUUCAUUUUGGAUUUCGAACUAAGGUGGAAUUGGCUCGACCAUAGAUUACAAUUGUUAAUGUAGUCCUUUUGCGUCCUCCACUAAGAACCUUACACAGUUCCAAGCAAAUCACGCCAAUUGCUAGAGCAAUAGAGAUUGCAAUUGUCAGGAUGCCAUUAUAAUUCUUCGUACAUUCCACUCCAUCAACAUCCCUAGGGUUUCAUCAAUGUACUAGUUAGAGUGAAAUGUUUUGGGGGAAGGGGUGGAGUGGGUUUGAGACAGGAAGGGAAUAGGCUGCUAUUUGGAUGGUGGAUUGAGAGGAGAAAGAAAUUAUAUGAAGAAAUCAAUAUAAUUAGUCGUCUGAUAGGCGUAGAAGAGGCGAGGAGAAAGGGGCAGAAGAUGA
rnacentral:misc_RNA from 1 species